rnacentral:rRNA from 1 species
GAUGAACGCUGGCGGCGUGCUUAACACAUGCAAGUCGAACGAUGAAGCCCAGCUUGCUGGGUGGAUUAGUGGCGAACGGGUGAGUAACACGUGAGUAACCUGCCCUUGACUCUGGGAUAAGCCCGGGAAACUGGGUCUAAUACCGGAUAGGAGCGCCUGUCGCAUGACGUGUGUUGGAAAGAUUUUUCGUUCAUGGUUGGACUCGCGGCCUAUCAGCUUGUUGGUGAGGUAAUGGCUCACCAAGGCGACGACGGGUAGCCGGCCUGAGAGGGUGACCGGCCACACUGGGACUGAGACACGGCACAGACUCCUACGGGAGGCAGCAGUGGGGAAGAUUGCACAAUGGGCGGAAGCCUGAUGCAGCGACGCCGCGUGAGGGAUGACGGCAUUCGGGUUGUAAACCUCUUUCAGUAGGGAAGAAGCGAAAGUGACGGUACCUGCAGAAGAAGCACCGGCUAACUACGUG